GAUGAAGAACGCAGCGAAAUGCGAUAAGUAAUGUGAAUUGCAGAAUUCAGUGAAUCAUCGAAUCUUUGAACGCACCUUGCGCCCUUUGGCCAUUCCGAAGGGCAUGCCUGUUUGAGUAUCAUGAACACCUCAACUCUCCAUGGUUUUCCAUGAUGAGCUUGGACUUUGGGGGUCUUGCUGGCCUGUGGGUCGGCUCCUCUCAAAUGAAUCAGCUUGCCGGUUUUUGGUGGGCAUCACAGGUGUGAUAACUAGCUACGCUUGUGGUUUUCCACCAGGGUAACCUUCAGCAGUGGAGGUUCACUGGAGCUUACAAAUGUCUCUCCUCUGUGAGGACAGCCCUUUGAAUGUUUGAUCUCAAAUCAGGUAGGACUACCCGCUGAACUUAAGCAUAUCAAUAAGCGGAGGA
rnacentral:misc_RNA from 1 species